rnacentral:rRNA from 1 species
AGAGUUUGAUCAUGGCUCAGGACGAACGCUUGCGGCGUGCCUAAGAAAUGCAAGUCGAACGGACAUCUUCGGAUGUUAGUGGCGAACGGUCGCGUAACACGUAGGCAACCUGCCCGAAAGUGGGGGACAACAGCCUGAAAGGGCUGCUAAUACCGCAUGUGGCUCACUUGUGGCAUCACUUGUGAUCUAAAGCUUUAUGCGCUUUCGGAUGGGCUUGCGGCCUAUCAGGUAGUUGGUGGGGUAAUGGCCUACCAAGCCGACGACGGGUAGCUGGUCUGAGAGGACGAUCAGCCGGAUUGGGACUGAGAUACGGCCCAGACUCCUACGGGGGGCAGCAAUUAGGAAUCUUGCGCAAUGGGGGCAACCCUGACGCAGCGACGCCGCGUGCGGGAUGAAGGCAUUCGUGUCGUAAACCGCUUUUUACGGGGAAGAAGAAUUUGACGGUACCCGUCGAAUAAGCCCCGGCUAACUACGUGCCAGCAGCCGCGGUAAUACGUAGGGGGCGAGCGUUGUCCGAAGUUACUGGGCGUAAAGCGCGCGUAGGCGGUCAUUUAAGUUCGGGGUGAAAGGUUCAGCGCUCAACGCGAACAGUGCCUUGAAUACUGGGUGACUUGAGUUCGGGAGAGGGCAGUGGAAUUCCUGGUGUAGCGGUGAAAUGCGUAGAUAUCAGGAGGAACACCGAUGGCGAAGGCAGCUGCCUGGCCUAGAACUGACGCUGAGGUGCGAAAGCGUGGGGAGCGAACAGGAUUAGAUACCCUAGUAGUCC